AUUUUUUAAAAGGGAACCAUUUCAUUAUUGAAAUCUUAUGAAUGCAUCAGUUAAUUUAUAUUAAAUUAUAAGCAGGCUAUCUGAAAAACAAGGAUAUAGAAAUCAUAUAUACACAUUUUUGAAAUAUUAGUUUAGUAUUUAACAUAUUAACAUUUCAAAACAAAUGCAAUGAUCUAGCUACCUAUGACGCCAGCUGGUGUCAGUGGUUGUAGCGAAGAUGCUGUUUCUGUUUACCAUGAGCAAACAGCAUUUCUUGGGUCUUAAGCUAAACAAUCACAAGUUAUCAAAGUAAAGAAAAUCUAAAGACAGUUCUUACUUUUCAUGUGUAGAAGUGUAGUUUGGGUAUCCAGUCAUGCCACAGUGUGACUGUGGUCAACACAGCCCUUGUCACAGGUGCGUAUGGUCCUAAAUAGCUGGCCUCUGUCUUUCCAACAUCUUCACUUCAUUGGGAAUUCAGUGCAAGUGUUUGUUUUGUGAGUUAGUGCAUUCAGCUUUUUUUGCAUGUUAUUUUGAAAAAGAAGCUGUCAGGAAGCAGAAGAUACAUAAGAACACAAGGCCCUGGAUCCUCAGAGCACCUCUGGUCUAGAGAAUUCAGUGUUUUGGAAGUAGUGUUUUCCUGCAUUGGGCUGGUCAUUGUUGUACCAUUCCCUGGAUAAUCUUUUUCCAUCAGAAUAAUGCUGUGUGCUCCCUCUUUGCCUGCUACUGAACAAUGACGUCUCUUGUUGUGAACCCCACUGGCAGAGCACGGACCAUGGAAGCAUCUUUUGGCAGCACCAGAGAACUGAGCAUCUCAAAGCAUGAGUUCUUCUGUUUCUUCUGCGUGGGUUGACCAUGGGCAUCAGGCAUCAGAGAUACAACUCUGGAUCUUGUCCAUCCAUUGCUGGGCACUCUGUCCAUCCUGGGCGCAGAAGUUAUACACACGUUUG
rnacentral:lncRNA from 1 species